rnacentral:rRNA from 1 species
UAGGGAAUCUUCCACAAUGGACGCAAGUCUGAUGGAGCAACGCCGCGUGAGUGAAGAAGGUUUUCGGACCGUAAAGCUCUGUUGUUGGUGAAGAAGGAUAGAGGUAGUAACUGGCCUUUAUUUGACGGUAAUCAACCAGAAAGUCACGGCUAACUACGUGCCAGCAGCCGCGGUAAUACGUAGGUGGCAAGCGUUGUCCGGAUUUAUUGGGCGUAAAGCGAGCGCAGGCGGAAGAAUAAGUCUGAUGUGAGAGCCCUCGGCUUAACCGAGGAAUUGCAUCGGAAACUGUUUUCUUGAGUGCAGAAGAGGAGAGUAGAACUCCAUGUGUAGCGGUGGAAUGCGUAGAUAUAUGGAAGAAUACCAGUGGCGAAGGCGGCUCUCUGGUCUGCAACUGACGCUGAGGCUCGAAAGCAUGGGUAGCGAACAGGAUUAGAUACCCUGGUAGUCCAUGCCGUAAACGAUGAGUGCUAAGUGUUGGGAGGCUUCCGCCUCUCAGUGCUGCAGCUAACGCAUUAAGCACUCCGCCUGGGGGAGUACGACCGCAAGGUUGAAAC